UAGCUCAGUCGGCUGAGCGUGGUGCUGAUAACACCCAGGCCGCGAGUUCAAUCCCCGC
rnacentral:tRNA from 1 species